UACGAGAGGCCCAAACGUUAUUCGGAUUUACUGGGCUUAAAGAGUUCGUAGGCGGCGCAGAAAGUAGGGUGUGAAAGCCCUCGGCUCAACCGAGGAAUUGCGCCCUAAACUACUGUGCUUGAGGAAGCUAGAGGUGAGCAGAACAGAUGGUGGAGCGGUGAAAUGCGUUGAUAUCAUCUGGAAUACCGGAGGCGUAAGGGCGGCUCAC
rnacentral:rRNA from 1 species